UACGGAGGAUCCAAGCGUUAUCCGGAUUUAUUGGGUUUAAAGGGUGCGUAGGUGGUUUUUUAAGUCAGGGGUGAAAGACGGCAGCUUAACUGUCGCAGUGCCUUUGAUACUGAAGAACUUGAAUUAACUAGAGGUAGGCGGAAUGUGACAAGUAGCGGUGAAAUGCAUAGAUAUGUCACAGAACACCAAUUGCGAAGGCAGCUUACUAUGGUUAUAUUGACACUGAGGCACGAAAGCGUGGGGGAUCAAACAGG
rnacentral:rRNA from 1 species